rnacentral:tRNA from 1 species
GGUAAGAAAGACUAAGGGAUA